rnacentral:rRNA from 1 species
CCUACGGGUGGCAGCAGUGAGGAAUAUUGGUCAAUGGACGAGAGUCUGAACCAGCCAAGUAGCGUGAAGGAUGACUGCCCUAUGGGUUGUAAACUUCUUUUAUAUGGGAAUAAAAUGUUCCACGUGUGGGAUUUUGUAUGUACCAUAUGAAUAAGGAUCGGCUAACUCCGUGCCAGCAGCCGCGGUAAUACGGAGGAUCCGAGCGUUAUCCGGAUUUAUUGGGUUUAAAGGGAGCGUAGGUGGAUUGUUAAGUCAGUUGUGAAAGUUUGCGGCUCAACCGUAAAAUUGCAGUUGAAACUGGCAGUCUUGAGUACAGUCGAGGUGGGCGGAAUUCGUGGUGUAGCGGUGAAAUGCUUAGAUAUCACGAAGAACUCCGAUUGCGAAGGCAGUUCACUGGACUGCAACUGACACUGAGGCUCGAAAGUGUGGGUAUCAAACAGGAUUAGAUACCCUAGUAGUC